rnacentral:tRNA from 1 species
AGCUCAGUUGGUGGAGCGUGCGGCUAUUAACCUCAAGAUCACUGGUUCAAACCCAGU